UACGUAAGAGGCAAGCGUUGUCCGGAAUCACUGGGCGUAAAGCGCACGCAGGCGGCAUGGCAAGUCAGGGGUGCAAGCUCCAGGCUCAACCUGGAAACUGCCCCUGAAACUACCUCGCUUGAGUGUCAGAGGGGAGACUGGAAUUCACGGUGUAGCGGUGAAAUGCGUAGAUAUCGUGGAGAACACCCGUGGCGAAGGCGGGGUCUCUGGCUGACAACUGACGCUGAGGUGCGAAAGCUA
rnacentral:rRNA from 1 species